ACGGAAGGCAGCAGUGGGGAAUAUUGCACAAUGGGCGCAAGCCUGAUGCAGCCAUGCCGCGUGUAUGAAGAAGGCCUUCGGGUUGUAAAGUACUUUCAGUCGUGAGGAAGGUGUUAAGGUUAAUAACCUUAGCAAUUGACGUUAGCGACAGAAGAAGCACCGGCUAACUCCGUGCCAGCAGCCGCGGUAAUACGGAGGGUGCGAGCGUUAAUCGGAAUUACUGGGCGUAAAGGGCACGCAGGCGGUUAAUUAAGUUGGAUGUGAAAUCCCCGGGCUUAACCUGGGAAUGGCAUUCAAGACUGGUUAGCUAGAGUCUUGUAGAGGGGGUAGAAUUCCAUGUGUAGCGGUGAAAUGCGUAGAGAUGUGGAGGAAUACCGGUGGCGAAGGCGGCCCCUGGACAAAGACUGACGCUCAUGUGCGAAAGCGUGGGGAGCAAACAGGGAUUAGAUACC
rnacentral:rRNA from 1 species